rnacentral:piRNA from 1 species
ACGCACUCUGUUAUGUAGAAAUCAG